GCCCCUCCCCUCCCCGGGGCUGCACGGGGACAUGGUGAGCGGCGCGGCAUGGGGCCCUGGCAGGCAGGGAGUGUGGCUGAGGGAGGAAUAAUACAGACCACUUGAUGGAUGACACUGCCAGAGGUUGGCAGGAAGGCCGACCCUAAGUGCAGUGACUCUCCUGGAGCACCCAACUCCCUCUGGGCACUGGCCCAGACCACGUCUGCCUCGCGGUCUUUGAGAAAACAAGAGAGAAACCUGUCAGCUCAGCUGAAAAACAAUAGAAUUCAAACCCCAUAAAAAUGGGCCAUCUUUGAAUGAAGAAAAAGCCCACUCUCACCUGCCAACUCAACAAGCAGGAAAGGCUCCGGAGAGCUGCAGAUUAUGGGAUAACUGACUCAGGCAUCCCACAACGGAACAGCUGGAGAGAGUGGUGUGAGGAAGGGGUAUUCCAGUUUUCCAGAAACCUGUGUUUUUACUGUGCAGUUUUGUACCACUAGAAGGACAAAUAGUACAUCGUUUGUCUGCAGUUGUGCACUUACCUAGUCUAGACUGACCCUUAGUGGUAAACUGGAAAUAUGAGCACAAUUCAAAUUUCAAAACAGUGCUUUUCCAUAAUCUAAUUAUUUGGAAAGGGGUAGAUAUAUAUGCUGUAUGUCACGGUACAUGUAAAUAGCCCCUGUAACUGUCAGAAGUAUAAAUAAUACCAGUUAUAUCAAAAUAAUGAUUACACGUGAAGAAUGCAAAAUGAAAAUUGUGAUGUCAAGACACACUAUAUUACAAGGAACAAAUAAGAAGCCUGUAUCAGGCACUAACAAAUACCUCAAGCUAACUAUGGAAUAUUAUUAAUUAGGUCUCUAAAAUACCAUCUUUCUGAAAAGCAGCGUAUGUGUAAUAUUCCAACUUAUUAAUCAAAGCAAUGGGACAAUGUGAAAUCUGCAAAAAAAUGAAUGGAUUGCAGAUGAUUGCCUACCUCUUUAAUAAUGACAGAGGAACACACCAGCUUCAAAUGCCAGAGACUCUCAGUCUUCUCUUUUUAAGCAGCCCAUAUUUUCAGUUCUCAAGGCAGUGAGGUAGAUAUGUUGGUUUCUUAUUGCAUUUUUUCCUGCAGCAUUAAUUCAAUUGAUGUUCUUCCCUAAUCAUGCUAAUUAUACUGCCAUAUGUUGCUCUCAUCCUUCUUUUUCUGUCCUAAUGGGACAUAGAUUCCCUCUUUUAAAUAUGUCAUUUAUUUAGUACAUGUAUUGAGGGUUUUAACAUUAUAUGAGUCUUUUAAUUGCUUUUUUAAACACUCAGCAGACUGAAUAUUAAAAACUUGACAUGAAGGUCAAUUAUAAAUAAUAUUUGAAUUGCAUGUGUGGGGUUUUGUCUUUUUCUGUGAAUCUCUAAUUUAGAAGCAUCAAGUUUAUAGGAAUUAUUCACAUGACAACACACACAGAAUCAUAGAAAUGUAGGGCUGGAAUAGCGUUUGAGAGGUUAUCUAGUCCAUCUCCUAGUACCUCGGCCAUCCCUGACCUGUGUUUGUCAAACCUAUUGUUAAAAACCUUCAGUUACGGUGAUUCCACAACCUACUUUGGUAACUUAUUCCAGUACUUAAAUAUCCUUAUAGUUAGAAAGUUUUCCCUGACAUCACAUUUAAAU